rnacentral:misc_RNA from 1 species
GUGAAUCAUCAAAUUUUUGAACGCAAAUUGCGCUUCCUGGCAUCCCGGGAAGUAUGCCUGUUUGAGGGUCAGUAUUAACGAAAAAAUGGUUUCGUUGUAACUUGUGGACGUUUCGGUGGUUUGGCUUAUCUUAACUUUUUUGGUUAAGGGGCUUAAAAUUGACCUUUUUUGCGCAUUUUUAGACGUACAUAAAUUUUUUUUUUUUUGUCUUUUUUUUAUUCCUAAAUCUUAUUUGAUUCGCUUCCAUU